rnacentral:rRNA from 1 species
GAUGAACGCUGGCGGCGUGCCUAAUACAUGCAAGUCGAGCGAACAGAUAAGGAGCUUGCUCCUUUGACGUUAGAGGCGGACGGGUGAGUAAAACGUGGGUAACCUACCUAUAAGACUGGGAUAAAUUCGGGAAACCGGAGCUAAUACCGGAUAACAUUUGGAACCGCAUGGUUCUAAAGUGAAAGAUGGUUUUGCUAUCACUUAUAGAUGGACCCGCGCCGUAUUAGCUAGUUGGUAAGGUAACGGCUUACCAAGGCAACGAUACGUAGCCGACCUGAGAGGGUGAUCGGCCACACUGGAACUGAGACACGGUCCAGACUCCUACGGGAGGCAGCAGUAGGGAAUCUUCCGCAAUGGGCGAAAGCCUGACGGAGCAACGCCGCGUGAAUGAUGAAGGGUUUCGGCUCGUAAAACUCUGUUAUUAGGGAAGAACAAACGUGUAAGUAACUGUGCACGUCUUGACGGUACCUAAUCAGAAAGCCACGGCUAACUACGUG